AACAAACACAACACACUAGUAAUAAUUAUCAAUAUACAAAGGACCUUUACAAAGUUAAAUUGUUUAUAAAAGAGCAUGAACUUCUUUUUCAAAUUUUUCUAUUUUUUUAUUUUAUACUGGUCCUUAGUUAUUAUCGGAACACAAGUUGUUGGAGUUCGUAUUAAAUGUACAACUGAUGCUGAUUGUCCCAAAUCGAAUACUGUUGAUGAAAUUAUUGUAUGCAUAUACAACUAUUGUUCGGUUAAAGGAAGUCAUAAUUGGAUCAAUAUUCCAUAAUGACUUUAUAAAAAUCUAAGAAUGAGUUACGGUGAACAUCUUAUUAUUUAAUAUAGAAACUUUUUAAAAAAAAUUAUUUCCUAAAAUUUGCAUUUAUGAUUUUCAACUCUAAAAUGAUAGUAAGACAAUGAAAAUAAUAUUUAAAUUGUCUUAUUUUUUUCGUUUAGAGUUAUUAUGAAUGUAAAUGUUUCGUAAAGAAUUCAAUUCUUGACGGUAAAUUUAAUUUUAAUUUAUAUUUAUUAUUAAUGUAAGUAAGUUUUUGAUAUUUAUAACUCAAAAACAUUAAAUAAAAAUUUAUGUAUUUUACAAUAUA